CCACCGCCCUCUGCUGGCCCUCGCCGGCGGACGCCGUCCGGGCCCAUGAUAGGCCCUCCUCCGUCUUGAGCUUUACCAGCCACGGCCUCCCAUGGCGACGGCAGGGCGAGAAAGCAACAUCAGCGGCACAGGAUGAAGACGGCGCUGGAUCUUCUUAACGGCGUCCGUGUCGAGCUCGCCGGCCACGCAAAUGAAGAGGAGCUCAAGGCCGGCCUCCCCCUGCCCGUGUGUUGUCGUCGGCACAGCCAAGGACAGGCGGCGCAUCGACGCUGGCAUCCACCCGACCUGCUGCUUCCGGCUCUGGCAGCGAGGGCAACUUCAGCCUCGGAGCCAGGGGCGACAAGAUCUGCAUAGUCCGCACCGACCAACACAAUGACGCGCAAGUAGUACACACUCAUCCCCAAGAAUUGGUCAGCUAGUGGGCUACUUGAGAAAAUGAAGGGACUUUCUGAAAGAAGGAAGCUGGAAGAUUUGACAAUUGGCCCAGUCCUUACUGUUACAAUGCCGAGGAAGUGUCAAAGGCAGCUGCACAGGCAAAGAAGAAAUCCAAAAUUCUGAAGCCAAUCGUGAGGCAAGACCCUCCGAUCAUCCACGAGAACAGGAGGGGGCUGCUGAACUCUCUUGUAUAUGAAUCUGUUGUUAGUGUCUUUCUUGUAUAUAUAUCUGAUUUGUGAAAAUAUUGUAAUAUAUUCAGUUACUGCUCUUAUAUGGAUGAUUUCAUCAUGUGUUGAUGUUUAUAUAUUGUCUAA